AUAGGGGCGAAAGACUAAUCGAACUAUCUAGUAGCUGGUUCCCUCCGAAAUUUCCCUUAGGAUAGCUGGGACAAAUAUGCAGUUUUAUUAGGUAAAGCGAAUGAUUAGAGGCAUCAGGGUUGAAACAACCUUGACCUAUUCUCAAACUUUAAAUUGGUAAGAACUCCUGGUUGGCUUAAGUGAACCUGGAGGUGGAAUGCAUGUCCUUAGUGGGCCAUUUUUGGUAAGCAG
rnacentral:rRNA from 1 species